rnacentral:lncRNA from 1 species
UACCUUUUGUGAUUGCACCAACAAUAACAAUCUUCUCAGCUACUUUUUCAACUAUGUCUACCUGAUUUGAGUUUGGGUGGAUGAGUACACCCAUUGAUUUCAAUUGAUGCACCAUAAAAACAACCACAACACAAUACAUAAAUUUAAUUACAAAACAAUAACAACAACAUAUAACACAAUUUUUUAAACUUAUACUUACCUCAAUCACACCGUGGGUACACUUCUCCCGCAGUUCCUCUGUCAACUCCUCUUGUUCCUCCUCAGUCAAC